rnacentral:miRNA from 1 species
UACCAUUCUAAGAAAGAGGAGCUAAAUGGUCAUGAAUGAUAUAAAUAUCAUUCAUGACCAUUUAGCUCCUCUUUCUUAGUUUCCUUAAUUGUU